UUCCUGGUGGUCUAGUGGUUUAGACUCUGAGCUCUCAAUGCAGGAAACACAGGUUCAAUCCCUGGUUGGGGAA
rnacentral:tRNA from 1 species